rnacentral:rRNA from 1 species
UACGUAGGGUGCGAGCGUGUCCGGAAUUAUUGGGCGUAAAGAGCUUGUAGGCGGUCUGUCGCGUCUGCUGUGAAAAUCCGGGGCUCAACCCCGGACUUGCAGUGGGUACGGGCAGACUAGAGUGUGGUAGGGGAGACUGGAAUUCCUGGUGUAGCGGUGAAAUGCGCAGAUAUCAGGAGGAACACCGAUGGCGAAGGCAGGUCUCUGGGCCACUACUGACGCUG